rnacentral:rRNA from 1 species
AUUGAACGCUGGCGGAAUGCUUUACACAUGCAAGUCGAACGGUAGAGGGGGCAACCCCUCGAGAGUGGCGAACGGGUGAGUAAUAUACCGGAACGUGCCCAGUCGUGGGGGAUAACGUAGCGAAAGUUACGCUAAUACCGCAUACGAUCUAAGGAUGAAAGCGGGGGAUCGCAAGACCUCGCGCGAUUGGAGCGGCCGAUAUCAGAUUAGGUAGUCGGUGGGGUAAAGGCUCACCAAGCCAACGAUCUGUAGCUGGUCUGAGAGGACGACCAGCCACACUGGAACUGAGACACGGUCCAGACUCCUACGGGAGGCAGCAGUGGGGAAUUUUGGACAAUGGACGCAAGUCUGAUCCAGCCAUUCCGCGUGCAGGAUGAAGGCCCUCGGGUUGUAAACUGCUUUUGUACGGAACGAAAAGGUCUCUCUUAAUACGGGGGGCUCAUGACGGUACCGUAAGAAUAAGCACCGGCUAACUACGUGCCAGCAGCCGCGGUAA